rnacentral:lncRNA from 1 species
GCCUCGGCGCCUGCGCAAGGAGCGCGAAGCUCUCACAUGUUGCGACUCUGAGGAGGCGGGUCGUGGCGGAAUCUUCGACUGCGAGUGGGGCAAGAGGAUUUGUGUCUUCAGAGGAUGAUGGCAAACCACCUUGUAAAACCCGACUCUAGAAACUGCAAGAGGACAAGAGAAUUGGAGCCUCAGUUGUCUGAGAGUCCACAGGUAUCCUCUCUUGGGAAAUCAGAUUCAUCUCUCUCUGAGUGUUCUGGACUCUUUUAUAAAGAGGAAGCUCUGGAGAAGGAUUUGAGCGAUAUGAGCAAGGAAAUUAAUCUGAUGUUGUCUACAUAUGCAAAGGUUUUAAGUGAAAGAGCAGCAGUAGAUGCAUCUUACAUUGAUGAGAUAGAUGGACUCUUCAAAGAA